rnacentral:rRNA from 1 species
GGCAUGCGCGUGCUAUACAUGCAAGUCGAGCGGACAGAUGGGAGCUUGCUCCCUGAUGUUAGCGGCGGACGGGUGAGUAACACGUGGGUAACCUGCCUGUAAGACUGGGAUAACUCCGGGAAACCGGGGCUAAUACCGGAUGGUUGUUUGAACCGCAUGGUUCAAACAUAAAAGGUGGCUUCGGCUACCACUUACAGAUGGACCCGCGGCGCAUUAGCUAGUUGGUGAGGUAACGGCUCACCAAGGCAACGAUGCGUAGCCGACCUGAGAGGGUGAUCGGCCACACUGGGACUGAGACACGGCCCAGACUCCUACGGGAGGCAGCAGUAGGGAAUCUUCCGCAAUGGACGAAAGUCUGACGGAGCAACGCCGCGUGAGUGAUGAAGGUUUUCGGAUCGUAAAGCUCUGUUGUUAGGGAAGAACAAGUACCGUUCGAAUAGGGCGGUACCUUGACGGUACCUAACCAGAAAGCCACGGCUAACUACGUGCCAGCAGCCGCGGUAAUACGUAGGUGGCAAGCGUUGUCCGGAAUUAUUGGGCGUAAAGGGCUCGCAGGCGGUUUCUUAAGUCUGAUGUGAAAGCCCCCGGCUCAACCGGGGAGGGUCAUUGGAAACUGGGGAACUUGAGUGCAGAAGAGGAGAGUGGAAUUCCACGUGUAGCGGUGAAAUGCGUAGAGAUGUGGAGGAACACCAGUGGCGAAGGCGACUCUCUGGUCUGUAACUGACGCUGAGGAGCGAAAGCGUGGGGAGCGAACAGGAUUAGAUACCCUGGUAGUCCACGCCGUAAACGAUGAGUGCUAAGUGUUAGGGGGUUUCCGCCCCUUAGUGCUGCAGCUAACGCAUUAAGCACUCCGCCUGGGGAGUACGGUCGCAAGACUGAAACUCAAAGGAAAUUGACGGGGGCCCGCACAGGCGGUGGAGCAUGUGGUGUAAUUCGAAGCAACGCGGAAGAACCUUACAAGGUCCUGACAUCCUUCUGACAAUUCUUAGAAGAUAGGACGUUCCCCUUUCGG